GGAAGUGGGAUGUGGAGAGGGGUGGAGAGGACUCUGUGAAGAAAAGGUAGCUUUAAGUGAGAAGAGCCGCUUCCAGGCAGAGGAAACAGCUGCCCGUAGACCCAGGAGAGCAGUGUGUGGGAGCUGCCUAGGCUCCUUGCCCUGAAGCUGAGCUGUCAGAUGGGUGAUUAGUUCCAAGAGGGUGUGGAAGACCUUCCCUGUGUUUCUGUAUCACGGCUUUUGCAUUUAUUACAGGCACACGGAGUACUUCUUUCUUCUCCUGUCCCUCUGCCAGCUUUUAUAGGUUAGGCCCAGACUCUCUAAAGAAUUACCUGACUGUCUCAGUAAAUAUUUGGGGUGCAAAGUCCUGGAGCAUUGUCAAAACUCUAUGUGCCUGCUCCACCCUUCCUUCCAUUGAGGCCAGCGCAGGGUGGGGCAGCCCGCAGAGUGUGGGCAAGGAAGCUAUCCUUCACCUCCCUGUAAACAGGCUUAGACACAGAGACGCAGAGCAUCAGCCCUGGCAACCCCAUCCUCAGCAAACACAAUGAACGUUUUUUAUGUGAAAUGGGCCAAUUAAUGACUAUCUGUCUCCCUGACACAUAAAACAGGAACUGCUCGGUAGUGGACCUUCAAAGACCUUAUCACAGAUUGAACAUAAUGAAGAAUCAUAGUCUUGCAGGAAUAUGGGGACAAGAGAGGAUGGUCACGUCCCCAGUCUCGGUGAAGGGAACCUCUUUCAAUCCAGCAAAGACCCUGUGAAGAUGUGUCUGUGAACCAGUUCACGUGAUCCUUUCUUGGGUUGAGAGAGCCCUGACUGCCCCAAGAUAUAACUCUGUCCUUAGAAGACCAAAAAUCUGAGGGUAAAUCAUUGAGUUAAUAACUGCAUCUAUUAAAAAUAUCG
ensembl:lncRNA